CUGCAGAGCAGAGUUUAGUGGUUACUGUGAAGGCGAGCUAAUCAAAGUAUGUACUCUAUCUCUCUCUAUGCACGCACAGAAUCAUCAGUCUAAAUGUCACUUGGCACGUUCAUUGCAGUCACUGAUCCCCUUAUGGUUUCGGUAUUUCUCAAUUUAGUAGUUUGGGAUGACCGUUGGGGGUGGGAUUUCUGGGAAAAUUAAAUAUUUGACCAUGGCAAUAUCAUUAUGUUUCUCUUUAAAGAUGACUUUUGAAGAAGAUGUGGACUCAAAGUCGAGGCGGGGCGGGUGGAUUUUGGGAAGAAAGGAGGUGUGUAAUGAAGCCCAGUUGGAACAAGCAGAUCACACGGGAAGCCCAAGUGUUAGGCGACCAGUCCAUUCCAUUGCAUUAAAGCUUCAGAGUCAAAACGUAGCGUUGAGGUGAAGAAAAGAGAGAACAUGCAGCGAAGAAUGAAACGCUGUGUUCAGUCGAGUCUUCUAGAAUAUAGUUAUUUUAAGAGUGUUAUUCAAUUACCAGUUUGUCCUAAGUAAUUUGGUAUUUUUAUAGUACACGUGUCUUGUGUUGAUUAGUUUAGUUUGUUAUUCCUGGAGAGCGUAAGAAAGGAAGAGGAGGGCGUGAAAGGUUUAUUAUGAAUUUGCUUGCAAGAACUUCGUUCAUCUGGAGGUUGGGAUUUGCCUCGAACUAUUUCCCAGAUAUUAAUAUAACUUCAUAGUUUUCUCCA